rnacentral:rRNA from 1 species
UACGGAGGGUGCAAGCGUUAUCCGGAUUUACUGGGUUUAAAGGGUGCGUAGGUGGACAUUUAAGUCAGCGGUGAAAUCUCCGGGCUUAACUCGGAAAUUGCCAUUGAUACUAUUUGUCUUGAAUUAUCUGGAGGUAAGCGGAAUAUGUCAUGUAGCGGUGAAAUGCUUAGAUAUGACAUAGAACACCAAUUGCGAAGGCAGCUCACUACGGAUAUAUUGACACUGAGGCACGAAAGCGUGGGGAUCAAACAGG